AACCUUGAGAUUAUUCUCAGCCUUUAUGUGUGUGUGUCUCUCUCUCUCAUCUCUAUUUGGUCUCCAAGCAACCCAGGAAGCUGUAGGUAAUUAUACGGAAGAUAUUGAUCUGUAGGUUUUGGCUCCCUUCUCUUUCUCAUCUCCCCGUACCUCUCUCUCUCUUAAUUUCUAUUCAAUUCCCAAUUUUAAUUUCCUUUUAAUCUUCUUUGAAAAACACAAGAUAGCCGCUAUAGAAGGUGGCUUUACUUUACUUUUUGUCAUGCAAAGCGACAGUAUCAUGUGUCUGACAGCGCAGGACUCUGUGAAAUCUGGACUCUGAACUCAAUCAUCAUUGGAUUGUUCAGCCAAAGGCAUGCAGUGUAAUGCGCUAAUGCUUAUUACCAUGACAACGUGACAGGAAAAGUUACACGGCAGCCAUCUUAAAGUGACAUUUUGGCUUUGAGAGUUACACCAGUGACUCUACGUCUGUUAGGCUGGUGAUAAAUGACCAGCAUUAGACAGGUGAUUUACAGUCUAAUUUCCCCAUCUGCACUUAAUGAUGAGAAUCGUAAUAACCUUCUAAUUGUGUGCGUGUGUUUGUGUGUCAACAGGCAAUGUUCAGCAGGAUGUGAUAUGACAUGUAGCUGUUGCUCUGGAGUCAGUUGUUUGCUUUUGUUUGUUGACUGUCGGCUAUCAUUGCCUGUCUUUUGUUUUGGGUACCUGCAGCAGAGCCUGGAGUGUAUGCGUGUGUGUCUGUAUGUGUGUGUGUGUGUGUGUGUGUGUACUCGUACACACACUGUUAUCUUUGUGAGGACCAAUUUGAGUUUUAGACCUUGGGUGUGAGAACAUUUUUUGAGAGUGAGAACAUUUUGGCCGGUCCUGAGUUUCGGACAGAUGUUUAAAGGAGUGUUUGAGGGUUCUGGUUGAGGGACUUGGUUUUCAGGUUCAGGUUAGAAUUAGGUUUAGGUUGGGAUUAGAGUUAGGUAUUUAGUUGUGAUGGUUAAGGUUAGGGUAAGGAGCUAGGGAAUGCAUUAUGUCAAUGAGGGUCCUCACAAGUACAGAAACACAAAAGUGUGUGUGUGUGUGUAUGUGUGUGUGUGUGUGAGUGAGUGACAGGCGGUGGUCUUUCUUGCCACAUGCUGUCACACUUUUGUUGCUAAAAAUAUUCUUGUACAUUCGACUGCGUGAACCUCUUUUACUUUUUCUCCAUCCGGCCUGUCUUAUUGCUUCAGCACACACACACACACACUCUUUCUCUCUCUCUCUCUCUCUCUCUCUCGCUCUGUCAGGGUUUAAUUUAUGUUGAUCCCAUCUGUCAGGAAAAGCUGACAUCACACACCGGUUAUUUAUAUACGUAUGUGUGUUUAUGUGUGUGUGUGUGUGUGUGUGUGCUCCUGAUGACAUCCCAUUGUGUCCCUCACCUCAGACUGUAUCAUCGCCACAGUGACUGUAUCGUUCACACACUCUCUUUUCUUUAUCUUUGUUCUCCCUUCUCUUCAUUUCUCUCAGUCUCCUGUAAUGCCACAUGAAGUCCCUGCACCAGUGUAUCACAGCGGAUUGUGUUUUCAUUCAGCUUUUUAUGAACAAACAUUCUUUCAUUGUUAGGAUAAAGCAGCAGGAACACGCAGUAAAGACAGAAACGUUCUUUGUGCUCACCAACACUGGAGCUCUUUCAGUGCAAGGUCACAGAUAUUUUAUAUAUUCAGUGAUCAUUACAUGUGCUUAUAUAUGUGUAAAAUACCAAAUAUAUAACACUCAUUGUUAACACCUUUCUGUACAGGAAGUAAUAGUCUUUCGAUUGCUAAAACGAAUGAAUUCAAUGUGAUGCUGGUUGAAAUACUUCAGGAAUGUGACUGUCAGCGGUGGAAAGUAACAAAGUAGAUUUACUGUAGUAAGUAGGUCUCGCUGACAGACAUGCUUAUAUGCAAACUUCAUUGUGCCAUGAAUGAGUAUUUUCACCGAACCAACAGCAAAUCCAGAGUGUUGAAGUGAGAUGUGGUGGCCUUUAAUCAUUUGUAUUCAUUAACAUGAUUGUUGCUGAUCAUCAAGAGAUGCCCCAUCUCCUGCCUGAUUCUAUGCAGCAAGGUCCUCCAAAAUCUAAUCAGACCAUCUCCUCUGUGGUGUGAGUAUAAAGCCUUUGUCAUGAGCUUUCAUUGAGUAAUUUUGCUCGCAAGAUUGCGUAUGUACACACACACACGCACACACACAUAUGAAGUAGCAUGGAGGGUGGCAGGACAUCAAAAUACAAAUAUGGGUCUGAAACUAUUUAAAGAAAAACUGGGUGAUGAUGUUACCGCACUGACGUCAUUUGAGGUGUGGUUCUGGGGCAGGAGGUCACUUUAUCUAGAAAUGUCCAGGAAGUCUAACAAAGUAAGAGCAUUGGGAGUUAAACUUGCCACCUACAGUCUGGUCUUGUUCAUCAUAUACUUUUCCUCAAGUGUGUUUCAUUUCAGCAUUGACCCCAGACAGUAGCCGUCUGAGAGGUUUGAUUUGGUACAUAACUCCAUAACUGACUACACUGUGGUUUAGCUGACAGAAAAGUUGAGUUGAGAUACUUCAGACACCAUCUCACUGAGCUGUUCUCAAGAGUGCAAUCACCAAUUAGAUUAAACAAUUCCUCAUUUUGCUGCAGUCUACCAAGAGCAAUAAAAACCUGGCUUUGGAAACCACUGUGAAACAUUUUCGGAUUUCAGAGAAUGUGAAAAAGAGAGAAGAGCCACAUCUGCUGGUCACAGAGGUACAUCACACACUAAACUGCAAAUAAAGGGCAGCUGAAGUAGAGACUGUCGCUAAUUUACACAGAAAUAAAAGAAAGUGAUGUUAUUUUUUAACUAAUUCACAAAAUCCUGUUUUACUCAUGCUUGUCUAAAGAGUUCAAUUUGAUUGUUUGUGCCGGACUAUCAAGCCUUUGAUCAACAAAGAGAAAAUAAAUAUCCUAUAUGAUUUUUUAAUAAAAUAUCGGAAAACAUUUUAAGCACGUGAUUUAUUGGAAAAUAGCUUAUAUCUAAUCUUUCAAUGCAUCACUUGAAACCACAUUAAAACAGGCAAAAGAACAGAUAACAAAAAAGUUAUUUUGCAUUUAUUUUUAAGCUAAUAGAAAAAUAUUCUGUAUAAAAGUAGAGAAAGCUGAAGAUAGAUUGCAGGUUACCACUACACCACCCCUUCUGCGUGGCUCAGCGAGCUUUAAAGUGUGGUGUUAAAACACACGUUGGGUCAGUUAGAUUUUACACCCAGAGCUGUGUUGGUAUGGUCCCACUCUUUGGCGGUGAUGAUAUUCUGGACCCACGGCUCAGACGGGUUGGUACAGAGUUCAGCACCACUGAUCAUCGUAAA